UCACAGGGAAGAGCUAUAAGGUUCGCAAUGCUAUUAAUUGGUGAUUAAUAUCGAAAGGUAUAUUAAACGGGUUAAUACUUUGACCCAAGCCAGGUAUGUAUAAGUAUGAUUAUGGCAAAAAUGUAAAAUGGGUCAAAUACAUUGGUAGAAGUCCUUCGUCGUAAACGAGGGACCAAAGUUGACCAAAACACUCUUGAAGGGUAAUUUGGGCAAACGACCCAUAUGGGUUGUUUAGAGAUAUGAAUUAUGGUAAUGUAAGCCUUAGAUGGGUAUGUAAGUUUUAGGCAUAGACCUUCUCGGAUCAAAUGCCAAGAAUAGUCCUUUUGCCGUAGAGUGGCUAACCGAAGGGUAGAUUUCGAAUAAAUAAUUGCUACAUAUAAAAUCCACUACAAUAGUAGUCUUGGUGGAAGAUCACUCUAUGAAUAAUGUGAAAUUAUGAUGCUAGAAAGGAAUUAGAGUGGUUAUGCGUAAAAGCGCUUAAAUACCCUUAACGGGUCAAAUAAGCUCAUAAUUAUAGAUGGGUUAAUGAUGCAUAAUAACCCGUGAUUUAAAUCUUGUGUCAUUUGAAAUAAUUGAAAUGUGAUAUUCAUAGGAAUUUUGGAAUGGCAAACAUGUUCAUUUAAUGAAUUACGAAACGGGUCAAAAAUGUUAAAAAGGGAUUUCAAGCCGAGAGCUUGAAGUGCGAAUUUUGAAAGUAGUUGAAUAUCAGGUUUUAAUUCCCUAAGAUGGGGAAUUAAAUUAUGAACGCGUAGGAAAAAGAAUCGUGUAAAACGGAUCUGUAGACUAAAAGUUAUGGUUCUUGAAAGUUUGAUUUUUGAUAAAUAAACAUAGCUGGCAAAAGUGCAGGUCCCAGCUGCGGACCUGCUGGAAAACGGAUCAAUGACUAUCAUAUUUUUGGGUAAAUAUUAAAUCUAAAUUAAUUCUUAUAGUACAUAAAGUACAAGUGGAGGGGCAAUUUAGGUAUUGGAAAAGGGGUUUUUCGGGGCUUUGGAAUACACAGAGUACUGCACAAUGCAGUACAUGUCUAAUCAAAAUAGAAAAUUUUCAUUUAUCAAUAUCUUCUAACUCACCUUCUAUAUCAUCAAAAACAAAUUCAUCUUCAAACCUAUCUAUGAGUUCCACUUUCUUUUUCUGAUAAUACCCAGGUUGAGUAGGAUCACCAUCUUGCAUAAAAACACCACAUCCGGGACAAACAAGCCCUAAAGCUUUGUCAUCGUCUCUUCCCUCACUUAAAAGUGGUUGCUUUUUAUAUCUUUUUCUUGAACUUUUACCUGAAUUGUUGAUUGUUUGUGUUGUUGAUGAGCUAGAGUUUAGUGAUGAUGUAAUAUAUGGGUUCUUGUUCUUGAUGGGUUCAUUGUUUAACUCAAACGCUUAAGGAAGAUGAAGGGGUCGAGUAAAAGGAAGAGAAGAAAUAAAUUAGGGCAAAAAAGUACCAGACGACAUAGUGUUGUUGUUAUAUCCGAUGAUAGGAACACGGAUUGUGCCCAGGAAGGACCUUCAAAGCAUCAACGUGGAUUUGGGCCAACACAAAGAGCGUUGGGUAAUUAUUGAUGUGUGAUUGAGUCGUGAAGACAGUUAAAGGUUAUGGAUAUGUGUAGACUAUGAUUGAAUCUGCUCGGGCUGGUAAUUAUGAAAAGGGCUUUUCUUUGCUUGGAUACUGGAUGGGGAUAUUGUUAACAUCCUGGGCGAUAUCCUAAGGUUGAGUGAAUUAAACACGUGCAGGUUAAUGGCUGUAAGUUACUAACGGUCAU